rnacentral:tRNA from 1 species
GGGGUUGUGGCUCAGUGGUAGAGCGCUCGCCCCCCACAUGUGAGAUCCUGGGUUCGAUCCUCAGCACCACA